rnacentral:lncRNA from 1 species
GCGCCUGAUCGUGCAAAAGUUUGUAUAUCUGAAAUAUACCUCUCCCCUAUAUUUGGUAUGGUUUGGCCUAUAGGGUGCACUAUAUUCAGCCCCUGUUGGGGGAACAUUCUGCUGUAUAGACAUCAUUUAACUUGAUGAAUAUCUUUGCGCCUUGAAUCAUCAUGUCCAUCUGGAAUUUUUUAUCAGUACUCAACACCACUUGAGAAUGAACCAAGGCCUUGAAACUGUCUGUGAAAGGCUCCUAAAAUGACGAAAGCGUCAAUUAAAAUAAUGCUAAGCUAAGCACUAAUGCUCAAAGUCACAAAUAAACAGCAACUCCUCUUACAGCACGACUCGGCUUUAGGUUGGGAAGGACAUCCGCUGGGAUUGGCAAUGUGUGGACUACUAAUAUAUAUCAAGACUGCUUCAGUUUUAUAUUUACUUUUGUUUCCUUGGCUUUAAGAUGCCUGUUUGAACGUGUGUGUGUGUGUGUGGGUGUGUGUGUGUGUGUGUGUUUGUCCAGGUGUGCUGAGUUCAGCGACGUGUGUGAGGACGUGCUGUUGAACACACUGCAGAAUCUCAUGAUGGAGGCGUUCCACAGAGAGCUGGACCUGACUGCCCCUCCCCCCCCCCCCCCCCCAGCAGCGAUGACAUCAGUGUCUCCAGGAGGGGAGAUGGUUCAUGAGGGCCAAGGCCAACAAUGAACGGGCCAAUUGGAGAGAGAGCAACCGAGGAAAAGCAGCACAAACCAGUAGGGGCUUUACAUCUCCCCACCUCACCUGCUGCAUUUUAUAUUAUUUCGUAGUUCUUCCAAUUAAAUAAGACGAUUUUGACAAAGUGUAUUUUUUGUCUUGGUUAAGUAGAUGGAUAUUUGUCUGGAGGUGUAUUAUUUUAAUCGUUUGAGCUCAUAAAAUCCCGGCAUGUAAUUUACAUAUAUUUAAACUAGAUGGCGCUGUAUGCCAACAAACGGAACGGGGCUGAUUUGAUUGAUCUUUAUGCUGUUAGCUGAAGCCUCGUGAAGCCAUAUUGAUCUGCAGAGUUAAGCAGAAUGUGAACUCGCAAGAUAGUGAUGUUCUCAAAACUAUGCUAUAUCGGCACAAAUUAUACAUAAAUAUUCGAAAUGUAUUCAUGACAUUUAAUCAAUUGUCAAUGAGUUUAUUCAAAUGUAAACUUAUUUCAGAAAUGGUGAC